AGCUCCAGUAGCGUAUAUUAAAGUUGUUGCAGUUAAAAAGCUCGUAGUUGGAUUUCUGGCCUGACACGUCUGACCCGCCACAGUUAUGUGUGUGAGUGUCGGUUCGCGUCUGCCAUCCUUCUGGAAAACGUGUCUACCCUUUAUUGGGCCGGAUGCGCGAUCCAGAUCUUUUACUUUGAAGAAAUUAGAGUGUUCAAAGCAGGCUUGCGCUAUGAAUACAUUAGCAUGGAAUAAUAAUUUAGGACUACGGUUCUAUUUUGUUGGUUUCUAGGACUGAAGUAAUGAUUGAUAGGGAUAGUUGGGGGUGCUAGUAUUCAGCGGCCAGAGGUGAAAUUCUUGGAUUCGCUGAAGACUAACUUAUGCGAAAGCAUUCACCAAGGAUGUCUUCUUUAAUCAAGAA
rnacentral:rRNA from 1 species